ACACAUUAGGAGAAGCUUUCUGGCUAUGUUACCCUUCCUUCUACUUUGACUCUAGCACCACGCGUGUUUGGCUGCACUGUGUUUGUUCAUCUUCCUAAGCCCCAUUGUACUAAGUUGGAUCCUUAUGUUUUGAAGUGUAUUUCUUGGCUAUUCUCCUCACCAGAAAGGCUAUCGGUGCUAUCAUCCACCUUCCCACCAGUCUUAUGUCUCAUGAAUGUUUCUUUCUCUGAACAAGAGAUGUACUUUGCUACUCUUAUCUCUAACUCCUCUCUUCAUUGGGAGAUUCUCGGUGUCGAAGAGUUGAAUUGGAUGGUUUUAUUCCCUGAUUCAGUAGACCUAGAAUCACACACAGGGAGAGUCUCUACAAGCAGUACUCCGACUGAAUCGAAUCAUCCAGCACUGGAAGAUCCUGCGCCUGUGACACUGUCUGAGAUGCUGCACCCUGAGCCAGCAAGUGGUGAUGUAGUCUAUUCUUCCCCCCUUCUACUCCUACUAUACAUGACCAAGAAAUCUCUUCUGCUGACACGUCUAAGGUAAGAAUAGAAAAACAGAUUAUUAAUACUCAUGUUGAUAUGCCUAUUGUGCCAAGUGACAGUGACAAGUUCCAGCUACCACCAAGGAGUACCCGUGGGAAGCCUCUAGACAGAUAUUCACCUGAUACGUUUAAGAUGGUGACAUACCCUAUUGUGAACUAUAUAUCAGCUCACAGGUUAUCACCUGCUAGUCAAGCCUUUGUGAGUCAGAUGUCAGCAAUAUAUAUUCCCACAAAGGUGCAGGAGGCUUUGUUAGAUUCUAAGUGCGCUGAUGCAAUGACUGAAGAAAUGAAAACGCUUGAAAAAAAAAUUAGACAUGGGAUUUAGUGUCGUUGCCAGAAGGAAAAAAACCAGUAGGGUGCCGAUAGGUACACACUGUGAAACACAAGCCAAAUGGUACAAUUGACAGGUAAAAAAAAGGGAUAUACUCUGAAGUAUGGUAUUUAUUAUGAGGAGACUAUUGCACCUGUCACAAAAAUCAAUAAUAUACGCGUCUAGUGUCUUUGGCUGCAAAUUUAGAUUGGCCCCUGUAGUAGUAUGAUGUGAAGAAUGUUUUUUUAAUGGUGAUUUAUGUGAAGAAAUGUAUAUGAGUAUGCCUCAUGGUUACAUUAUUGCUGGACAAACAGACGUUGGGCAAGUUAAAACAGGCCUUAUAUGGAUUGAUGCCAAACGAAGUUUAUAUGUUGGAAUUUUCUAAUACAAGAGACAUUGAAUUCUAAGAAGCAUGGGGAUGCUGCAUUUCAAGCUAAGGAUUUUGCUACCGCGAUAGAUUCUUACACAGAUUCAUUGCUGGCGGGACGAUGAUAUCGCCAACUGUGUUUGCUAUGCUUAUGUUACUUGAUGAUGGCACAAGAAGCUCUUGGAGAUGCUAUGCAAGCCCUAGUAAUAAACCCUGAAUGGCCAACUGCCUUCUAUCUUCAAGCAGCUGCCCUAAAGAGCCUAGGGAUGGACAAUGAUGCGCAGGAAACUCUAAAUGAUGGAGCGUCGUUGGAAGU